CCUCUUAAAAGAAUGGCGAACACGUUGCGACUUGCAAGUGUGUGUCUGUCUGUGUCAGAUUGUCAGUUGUCGCGUAACAUACGAUACGCUAACUAACAUCAACAAUUUGUGCCGUAAUACCAAUGAAUACAUAGGAGGAAACGUGAAAGUCGUAGGGCCUACAGGCUACAGCCUACCAUCAACAAUUUUGUUCAAAAUCACUGUAUUCUGCUGAAUAUGCCAUCGAAAUUAUACAGGAUUCAUCACAAUUAUCUGCUGUUUGUAUUGGACUUGCUCGAUCACCAACCCUGGCAUGUACCAAGCUCUCAUCUUCUAGAGUACCUUGGGUAACUAAUCAUCACUGAUCAGUGGUUUCAUGUAGGCAAUUCCGUUGUAAUACUGACAACUAUUUAAUGAGAACAACAACAACAACAACUAUUGACCGGAAGACGUCCAUCCAGGAGUCCAUCCGAUUUUGGCAAUUGGAGCGACGGACUGGCAAAGACCCACCCCGAGAUGAUCGUUGUCUUGAGCACUCCGCCCAACACCAACUUUAUCCCUGCCAUUGGGCGUCUUAUUCCUCACGUCGGAGCGGCUCCGUUCCUCACGCCGUCUGCCCCCACGUCAUCUUCUCUCUGCAGCCCAUCGCUGCAGUUAACCGCAACAAGUUACUUUCUGCUGUUCUCCGCCUGAUCCUCAAUGCCACUGAGACCACCGAGAUCCGUAUCGCCGCCGUCUCCACAUGUUCCACGCUCUGGGGGUAAACUUUCGUCAACCACUCAGCAAUCCGCCAUGACAUGACAUCACUUCAUGGCCUAGACGCCUAGAUACCAGUUUCUACACGCGUAGUUCAAAAAAUGAUCAGCGCCAUCUAAUGGUGAUGAAUUGGUUAAAUUUGACCGACCCACCAUCUACUGGCGAAAAAGUAAACAGUCACCUAUUGCUGAAAUUUCGAACUAACCCUUCCGCAUCCGUAUGUGCAAAGUUCCUCCCGUACCCGUAUACCAAAAAACCUUUACUUUAUUUUUACAGAAUCCCUAAGGGAAACAAAGAAAUUUAAAUUAAUACAAAGAAAUUAAUUAAUUUCAUUAUUAUUUCAUUAUUUAAAAUAUCGGGGUUAUAUUGUCGGUGGAGUUCUUCUCUCUUUGGAGUUCUACUGUCAGCAACCCGAUGAAACGUAUACGGCACGCAAGUGAGCCCAAUUGUUGUAUUUUUAAAUCCUUGAAAUUUACAAUGCAACAAUAUACGUCAAACUUGACCCAAUGUCAAUUUGUACCCCAUUUUCCUCGACCGCAACCGUGUUACUUUCAACGUUCACGAAGAAUGUACUUGCUUCAGUCAGCUGAACCUUUCCUCUUUCUAAAUCGUCACUCGUAGGAAUUUUUCUAGGGCCAAGAAUAGGGUCUUGGAAGCGCCAAAGGC